rnacentral:misc_RNA from 1 species
UCUCUAUAUAUAUAUAUAUAUAUAAACCUUCGAAGACCUGCAAGAAGCAAAAAUAAAACCACAAAGAUAAAAAAAAGAUAAAUUAAAAGAAAAAAAUAGAAAGAAAAACUAAUAAAGGGUGAAGAAGAAGAAGAGAUGGAAAAUGGAAAUAGAAACUGGAUUUUCACUGAUGAAUGAAACGCACAAAGAGAGGUUAGUUAGGUUCCCCUCUUAACCAGAGUUGCUG